rnacentral:misc_RNA from 1 species
GUGAAUCAUCGAAUUUUUGAACGCAAAUUGCACUCUCCUCUGAUAGGAUGCCUGUUUGAGUGUCAGCCUAUAAAAAAUCGACAUCGUGGCUGUUUCGCGGUUUCGGUGGUCGGAAAUUGGGUCAGCUUAGAUCCGUUUGGUUUUAAGUGACCUAAAAUUUUGCUUGUUGUUUUUUGAACGUUUUUAAAAUGUUUUUCGUUAGUUUGUGAUAGUGUC